AGCAGCCGCGGUAAUUCCAGCUCCAAUAGCGUAUAUUAAAGUUGUUGCAGUUAAAAAGCUCGUAGUUGAAUUUCGGGACCAAUUUGUUGGUCGUGCCUUCGGUACGUACGGGUGUAAUUGGUCUCUACCUUCUGAGGAUCCUUGAUGUCAUUAAUUUGGUGUCUUGGGGAAUCAGGACUGUUACCUUGAAAAAAUUAGAGUGUUUAAAGCAGGCAUACGCUUGAAUACAUUAGCAUGGAAUAAUGAAAUAGGACGUUCGAUUCUAUUUUGUUGGUUUCUAGGAUCGACGUAAUGAUUAAUAGGGAUAGUUGGGGGCAUUAGUAUUCAAUUGUCAGAGGUGAAAUUCUUGGAUUUAUUGAAGACUAACUACUGCGAAAGCAUUUGCCAAGGAUGUUUUCAUUAAUCAAGGACGAAAGUUAGGGGAUCGAAGACGAUCAGAUACCGUCGUAGUCUUAACCAUAAACUAUGCCGACUAGGGAUCGGAUGAUGUUAAUUUUUAAUGACUCAUUCGGCGCCUUAC
rnacentral:rRNA from 1 species